CGCACGGGUGCGUAACGCGUGGGAAUCUGCCCUUGGGUUCGGAAUAACAGUGAGAAAUUACUGCUAAUACCGGAUGAUGUCUUCGGACCAAAGAUUUAUCGCCCAAGGAUGAGCCCGCGUAGGAUUAGGUAGUUGGUGGGGUAAUGGCCUACCAAGCCGACGAUCCUUAGCUGGUCUGAGAGGAUGAUCAGCCACACUGGGACUGAGACACGGCCCAGACUCCUACGGGAGGCAGCAGUGGGGAAUAUUGGACAAUGGGCGAAAGCCUGAUCCAGCAAUGCCGCGUGAGUGAUGAAGGCCUUAGGGUUGUAAAGCUCUUUUACCCGGGAUGAUAAUGACAGUACCGGGAGAAUAAGCUCCGGCU
rnacentral:rRNA from 1 species